rnacentral:rRNA from 1 species
UUCCAGACUCCUACGGGAGGCAGCAGUGAGGAAUAUUGGUCAAUGGGCGCGAGCCUGAACCAGCCAAGUAGCGUGAAGGAUGACUGCCCUACGGGUUGUAAACUUCUUUUAUAAAGGAAUAAAGUGAGGCACGUGUGCCUUUUUGUAUGUAUUUUAUGAAUAAGGAUCGGCUAACUCCGUGCCAGCAGCCGCGGUAAUACGGAGGAUCCGAGCGUUAUCCGGAUUUAUUGGGUUUAAAGGGUGCGCAGGCGGAAUGUCAAGUCAGCGGUAAAAUUUCGGGGCUCAACCCCGUCGUGCCGUUGAAACUGGCGUUCUUGAGUGAGCGAGAAGUAUGCGGAAUGCGUGGUGUAGCGAUGAAAUGCAUAGAUAUCACGCAGAACUCCGAUUGCGAAGGCAGCAUACCGGCGCUCAACUGACGCUCAUGCACGAAAGCGUGGGUAUCGAACAGGAUUAGAUACCCUAGUA